rnacentral:rRNA from 1 species
UACGGGGGGGGCAAGCGUUGUUCGGAAUUACUGGGCGUAAAGGGCUCGUAGGUGGCCAACUAAGUCGGACGUGAAAUCCCCAGGCUCAACUUGGGAACUGCGUCCGAUACUGGCAGGCUUGAAUCCGGGAGAGGGAUGCGGAAUUCCAGGUGUAGCGGUGAAAUGCGUAGAUAUCUGGAGGAACACCGGUGGCGAAGGCGGCAUCCUGGACCGGCAUUGACGCUGAGGCGCGAAAGCCAGGGGAGCAAACGGGG